GACGAACGCUGGCGGCGUGCCUAAUACAUGCAAGUAGGACGCAGUUGCGAACGGGUGAGUAACGCGUAGGUAACUACCUAGUAGAGGGGGAUAACUAUUGGACACGAUAGCUAAUACCGCAUACUAGUAGAUGGACCUGCGUUGUUUUAGGUAGUAGGUAGGGUAAUGGCCUACCUAGGCAACGGUACAUGUCCGACCUGGUAGGGUGGUCGGGCACACUGGGACUGAGACAAGGGCCAGACUCCUCCGGGAGGCAGCAGUAGGGGAACUUCGGCAAUGGGGGGAACCCUGACCGAGCAACGCCGGGUGAGUGAAGAAGGUUUUCAGCUCGUAAAGCUCUGUUGUUAAGGAAGCGGUACUUAACCAGAAAGGGACGGCUAACUACGUGCCAGCAGCCGCGGUAAUUC
rnacentral:rRNA from 1 species